rnacentral:misc_RNA from 1 species
AAAAGAUAAAUUAAAAACGAACAAGAACUAAGAAAUUUUAAUUUCAGGAACUUGAAUCAAAAAAGUAAAAGGCAUAAAAGAAAAUCGAAUUAAAGACAAAUCUCUACAAAAAGAUAGAAAACUCAAUAAAUAUAGAAAAACGCUCGGCAGUGAAUGGUUGACCCAGAGAGAGAGGAAGCUGGGGAGUGGAGAAAUGGAGAGAGAG